CAUGCCGCGUGAGUGAAGAAGGCCUUCGGGUUGAAAGCUCUUUUGUCAGGGAAGAAACCCGGCUCUAACACAGUCCGGGAAUGACGGUACCUGAAGAAUAAGCACCGGCUAACUACGUGCCAGCAGCCGCGGUAAUACCUAAGGUGCGAGCGUUAAUCGGAAUUACUGGGCGUAAAGCGUGCGCAGGCGGUUAUACAAGACAGGCGUGAAAUCCCCGGGCUUAACCUGGGAAUGGCGCCUGUGACUGUAUAGCUAGAGUGUGUCAGAGGGGGGUAGAAUUCCACGUGUAUCAGUGAAAUGCGUAAAUAUGUGGAGGAAUACCAAUGGCGAAAGCAACCCCCUGGGAUAACACUGACGCUCAUGCACGAAAGCGUGGGGAGCAAACAGGAUUACAUACCCUGGUAGUCCACGCCCUAAACGAUGCUGACUAGUUGUUCGGGAUUUACAUCCUGAGUAACGUAUCUCACGCGUGAAGUCAGCCGCCUGGGGAGUACGGUCGCAAGAUUAAAACUCAAAUGAAUUGACGGG
rnacentral:rRNA from 1 species